rnacentral:rRNA from 1 species
CCCCUAGAUGUUCUGGGCCGCACGCGCGCUACACUGAACAGUUCAACAAGUCUUAACCUUGGCCGAUAGGUCUGGGUAAUCUUUGAACGCUGUUCGUGAUUGGGAUAGACCUUUGCAAUUAUGGGUCUUCAACGAGGAAUUCCUAGUAAACGCAAGUCAUCAGCGUGCAUUGAUUACGUCCCUGCCCUUUGUACACACCGCCCGUCGCACCUACCGAUUGAAUGGUCCGGUGAAAUCUCGGGACGGCGGCUUGGUCGCUUGCGUCCGACUGCUGAAACUUGAUUAAACCAUAUCAUUUAGAGGAAGGUGAAGUCGUANCA